AAUCAACGCUGGCGGCGUGCCUCAGACAUGCAAGUCGAACGCGAAAGGUUCCUUCGGGAGCCGAGUAGAGUGGCGCUCGGGUGAGUAACACGUAGGUAAUUUGCCGUUUGGGUGGGGAAUAACAAUCGGAAACGGUUGCUAAUACCGCAUAAUGCAGCGGCUCGACAUCGAGACAGUUGUUAAAGCGGGGAUCCUUCGGGACCUCGCGCCUAAAGAGAAGCCUGCGGCGGAUUAGCUAGUUGGUGAGGUAAUGGCUCACCAAGGCGACGAUCCGUAACCGGCCUGAGAGGGCGGACGGUCACACUGACACUUAAUACGGGUCAGACUCCGUACGGGAGGCAGCA
rnacentral:rRNA from 1 species